rnacentral:misc_RNA from 1 species
GUUUUGCGAAGGCUUCCCCUGCCCUCGGGGAUAAGGGGAGAUGAUGAAUCUUCCUCUCCUAGUUAUGGUUGAAGCCUUCCCUCAACUAGUUUGUGAGUAAAUAGCUAUUUUGGUUCUGUUUUCUUGCAAGCAGGAUCGAAAUAGUGAAGGUUUUUCAAAUUUAACCUGCUUUUGUAGUUAUGGUUUUGGAUCUAUUUGUGUUUGGGUUGGCCAUUUGAAGUAUGGUGAUUGCUGAUUGGUGUGUGAUCUCUUGGGCCUAGAAGGAUAGCUCCGCGCGAUAAGAGGGCUCCCUUCCUUCGGCUUUUAUGCAUCUUCAGGAUUUACUUCUAGACCGUAGCUGGGAAGAUCUUCUUGAUUGCUUCGAGUGCUAGACAACUAGCUCCUUCUUGUCGUUGUGGAGCUAUGCUUCAUGGUUCUGUUGAGAAAGGUGGGAGGCUAGUGCUGUUUGCGUUGCUGUGCAAUGAUGGAUGACUUUAAUUGCUCUUUGUGAUGCUGACGUUUGUUGGCUUCAAUCAUUUCUCAGUUUUUGGUGGUGACAAGCCUUGGUAGUG